CGUAUUUUUUUAUUUGACAUUGACAUUGACCAUGUUUUGUUUUGGAUGUGUAAAUUAUUUACAUUUUUGGAAGAAAUCGGAAGAAUAUUAAAAUAAAACGAGUAAACUUAUAAUCUAAAUAUGUUGGAAACAUAAUUUCUUCAACAUUUUAUUCAUUUCAAACUAAAUUCAAUUUAGGGAUAACCACAAUGCAUCUGCAACCACCAACGCCUAAAGAGCCGCAAGCCCCUACGCAGCCGCGGGUGCGGCAGCCGCCACCGCCCCCGAAGCAGCGGCAGCCCCCGCCGGUGCCACGGUGCGCCACCGCACACGCUCCGCCGCCGCCUAAGGAACGCCAGCCGCCUCCACCGCCCAAGGAACGCAAGGCUCCUCCGGCACCCAGGGUGCGCCAGGCCCCACCCCCGCCGCGGGUCCGCCAGCCACCGCCCGAGCCUAGACGCGCCUCGGCUCAACGCCCACCGCAGCCUAAAGAGCGCCAACAGCCACCGGCCCCAAAAGAAACUAAAGAUCCCCAGGCAAGGUCUAAUGUAAAUAGCAGAGAAGUGGUCACUACAGAAAGUUUGGCAGAGGGGAUAGCACUCUCUGGACUCUCUCUUACAGAUAAAUAAUAUUUAUAAAUACUACUCAAGGAUUAUUUAUUAUAAACUUCCUUAGGAAUGGGUUAGGAAACUUUAAAAUGCAUGCACUUACCAUUUGUUUCUUUGGUGUAGGUAUGUAAUAUUUUCGAAUAAUUUUGGUACUCAAGAGAAGUACUAGUAGUACCUAGUAUGUUCCUUGGUACUGAGGUACCUAUCCCUGUUUUUUUCCAUCAUGUUGCCUACCCACAUUUUUUUUUUUACAUGUAGGUAGUAAAAAUACAUAAUCAUAAUCAUUUAUCUAUAAGUACAUGUUUAUCUGAUCAAAUUUUUGGUGGAGUUUGGUAAUGUUUUUGAAUACAUAUUCUAUUAUUGUGUUUUUAGUCAUAUUUCUUUUUUUUCUACCUUAUACUUCUUAUUAGUGUUGUUGGUUGUGUUUUUAAAUGCAUGAAUAAAUAUGCCUUUUUGUUA